rnacentral:rRNA from 1 species
AACGCGAAGAACCUUACCUGGUCUUGACAUCCACAGAACCUGGCAGAGAUGCCGGGGUGCCUUCGGGGGACAGAGUGACAGGUGGUGCAUGGUUGUCGUCAGCUCGUGUCGUGAGAUGUUGGGUUAAGUCCCGCAACGAGCGCAACCCUUGACCUUAGUUGCCAGCAUUUCGGAUGGGCACUCUAGGGUGACUGCCGGUGACAAACCGGAGGAAGGUGGGGAUAACGUCAAAUCAUCAUGCCCCUUACGACCUGGGCUACACACGUGCUACAAUGGAUGGGACAAAGGGUCGCGAUCCCGCGAGGGUGAGCUAACUCCA